UUCUGGCUCAGGAUGAACGCUGGCGGCGUGCUUAACACAUUCAAGUCGAACGGGCGAGAGGAAGCAAUUCCUUUGCUAGUGGCGGACGGGUGAGUAACGCGUGAGCAACCUACCUUUACGAGUGGGAUAACAAUUGGAAACGAUUGCUAAUACCGCAUAAUGUAUAGAUACCGCAUGAUAUCUAUACCAAAGAAAAUCGCGUAAAGAUGGGCUCGCGUCCCAUUAGACAGUUGGUGAGGUAACGGCCCACCAAAUCUACGAUGGGUAGCCGGACUGAGAGGUUGAACGGCCACAUUGGAACUGAGAAACGGUCCAGACUCCUACGGGAGGCAGCAGUGGGGAAUAUUGGGCAAUGGGCGAAAGCCCUGACCCAGCGACGCCGCGUGAAGGAAGAAGGUCUUCGGAUUGUAAACUUUAGUCAACAGGGAAGAAGAAAGUGACGGUACCUGUAGAGGAAGCCACGGCUAACUACGUGCCAGCAGCAGC
rnacentral:rRNA from 1 species